UUUAAUGGAGUUCAAUGUCUUUACAUGUGAAAAAGUAAGCGAACCAGAAACGUUCAAAUAUUUUCAACGCAGUAGGUUUGUUAAAAUUGUGAAUACUUCGAAGUGAAAAAUUUUUCUAUUUGGAUAUAGGUUACGGAUGAAAUAGGAUAUAAAAGUAUUUUUUGAAACUUCGGAGGUUUUAUUAUGGCAGGCAAAAUAUUGCAAGCAUUGUUUUGCUUACUUGGCGUAUUAACCGGACAUACAUUUGCCCGUAUGUGUGAAAAGACAUAUGAUAGCCGCACCGGACUGCAGUGUUAUCCGUGCCAGCCGGGAUUUGAAAAAGUCAAGGACUGCGUUGAGAAUGCAACACAAGCAGAAUGUGUUACAUGCAAAGAGGGGUUUUAUCAACCACAGUGCAGUGGUGUUGAGGAAGGACAAUGCCGUUUGUGCAGCGAGUGUUUUAUAUAUCAGCAGCAUUGUAAUGCAACACAUAAUGCUAUUUGUACUGAUAAGGAAACUGAAGGUAUUUUUGUUUCCUUACAAAACGGCUUGUUUAGGAGAUUUUGUUACUGCUUAUUCAGCUAAAAAUGGAAUUUUAAGGUUUUUGAAUUACAAAUGUACUAAUAUAAAAGUUAAUGUCUUUUUAUCGACAAAACGGAAUAUAUUUGAACUUGUGUAAAGUUGAAAAUCAUAUUAACCUCGCUUAUCGGCUCGUCCAAUAUGGGUUUUGCAACAGGGCAAUUAUCUAAAUAUGACUCUUAUUUUACAGAACUUUGGCAAUGUUAAAUAUAACCGUAAAGUAUAUAUAGAUAUCAUUGACUGUCGAUUUGUACUAAAUUCCGACAAGAAACGGUACUUUGUCAUUAUCUUAAUAUCUGCUCAAUGUACAUUUUUGCAAGCUUUAUUGUGGAAUUUUCGUUCCAUAAACUUCUAAUAACAUUCCGAAAUUUUAACAAAGCUGAACAGCGGCUUUGUAUUAUUCUACAGCCACACCCAAUUCUAUCCAGCCACA